rnacentral:rRNA from 1 species
GGACCAAGGAGUCUAGCAUGUGCGCAAGUCAUUGGGAUAAUUAUGAAACCUAAAGGCGUAAUGAAAGUAAAUAUAUUUGAAUUUUCGUGAUUCAUAUAUAAAGGGAAGAUGGGUGACGUAUUUUAUGUUACCUCGCAUUCCCGGGGCGUCGCGUACUCAUUGCGAGUUGCGGCGCACCUAGAGCGUACAUGCUGGGACCC